rnacentral:piRNA from 5 species
UUUGAAGGGAGCAUUUGUGGACUCUGUUCU